rnacentral:rRNA from 1 species
ACCUGUCGGGAGCCGACAGGUGGUGCCUGGGUAGGGUGAGGCUCGAGGAGCCUCUGGUGGAGGCUCGUAGCGAAUACUGACGUGCAAU